rnacentral:tRNA from 1 species
CUAGUACGUCUAACGGAUAACGCGUCUGACUUCGAAUCAGAAGAUUCUAAGUUCGAAUCCUGGCUAG